UACGUAGGGUGCAAGCGUUGUCCGGAUUUAUUGGGCGUAAAGAGCUCGUAGGCGGUUUGUCGCGUCGGAUGUGAAACCCAGGGCUCAACCCUGGGCCUGCAUUCGAUACGGGCAGACUAGAGUAUGGCAGGGGAGACUGGAAUUCCUGGUGUAGCGGUGAAAUGCGCAGAUAUCAGGAGGAACACCGGUGGCGAAGGCGGGUCUCUGGGCCAAAACUGACGCUGGAGGAGCGAAAGCCGUGGGGAGCGAACAGG
rnacentral:rRNA from 1 species